GCCUGGGUGGCGGAAUAGGUAGACGCAAGGGACUUAAAAUCCCUCGGUCCUCGCGACUGUACGAGUUCGAUUCUCGUCCCAGGCA
rnacentral:tRNA from 1 species